UCACUUGUCUUUUAAAUGUAGACCCGUAUGAAUGGCAUGACGAAGGCUAGACUGUCUCCUUUUUCCAGUCAGUGAAAUUGAUCUCUCCGUGCAGAAGCGGAGAUAUGUACAUAAGACGAGAAGACCCUGUGGAGCUUCAGACAAUGAAUAGACCAUAUUAAACAACCAAUAAAAUCUGGAAUAAACUAGUGGCUUACUAUUCUAAUGUCUUUGGUUGGGGCGACCGUGGGGUAAGAAAAAACCCCCAUGAGGAAAGAGACACCCUCUCCAAACCAAGAUUGACAAAUCUAAGUAACAGAAUUUCUGACCUUUCACGAUCCGGUAAAAACCGAUCAACGAAUCAAGUUACCCCAGGGAUAACAGCGCAAUCCCUUCCCAGAGUACAUAUCGACGAAGGGGUUUACGACCUCGAUGUUGGAUCAGGACAUCCUAAUGGUGCAGAAGCUAUUAAGGGUUCGUUUGUUCAACGAUUAAAGUCCU
rnacentral:rRNA from 1 species